rnacentral:rRNA from 1 species
GACGUAGGAUGCAAGCGUUGUCCGGAUUUAUUGGGCGUAAAGAGUUCGUAGGUGGUUUGUUAAGUCUGAUGUUAAAGAUCGGGGCCCAACCCCGGGAGUGCAUUGGAUACUGGCAGACUGGAGUGUAGUAGAGGCAAGCGGAAUUCCCAGUGUAGCGGUGAAAUGCGUAGAUAUUGGGAAGAACACCAGUGGCGUAAGCGGCUUGCUGGGCUAUAACUGACGCUGAGGAACGAAAGCCAGGGGAG